rnacentral:tRNA from 1 species
GCCUGGGUGGCUCAGUCGGUUAAGCAUCCGACUUCGGCUCAGGUCAUGAUCUCACGAUUUGUGGGUUCGGACCCCACGUCAGGCU